AAUUAUUAAUGUUUAAAUAAAUAUACUUAACAAUAUAAUAUUACUAAAUCAUUCUCUCACAACUUUAACAUUUAGCAAAAUAUAUAAUAAUUCCUACGUUUCACAUUACAUUAACUAACACACACUAUAUAUAUAUAUAUAUAUAUAUUACUCAUCAGAUCGAUCAGACACACAAAAAUUAGAAACAUACGAAACAAGACUUAGGAUCUAAAACUACAAUUAGAUAAUUUUGC
rnacentral:lncRNA from 1 species